rnacentral:lncRNA from 1 species
AGUAAUAGAUUCGAGGAGUUGACUUGGUUUUUCGAAAGAGAUCGUCCAAAGUGACAAUCGGUGUAUCAAGUUUCUCUGGUAGAGGAGGUGGGGGAGGCAAAGGAAGCCGUUCUCUUGCUGAGGAAGGGGCAGUCAAAGGUGGUGGAGGUGGAAGAGAAGGAGGUGGCGGAAGCUGCUGCUGCUGCUGCCUAGGUUGACGGGGUGAAGGCUGCGGCUGUGAGGUGGAUGGGGCAACAGGAACAGCGGGACCGCUACUGAUGGGUGUAGCAGGAGUCUGAGGAAUCUGAACCCGUGUUUGCACUUCCUGGGGAUCAACAAACUCGGCCACUAAAAGGCGCCCACCGUUGGGAGGCCACUGUAGGUUAUACAC